UACGUAGGGUGCAAGCGUUAAUCGGAAUUACUGGGCGUAAAGCGUGCGCAGGCGGCUUUGCAAGACAGAUGUGAAAUCCCCGGGCUUAACCUGGGAACUGCAUUUGUGACUGCAUGGCUGGAGUGCGGCAGAGGGGGAUGGAAUUCCGCGUGUAGCAGUGAAAUGCGUAGAGAUGUGGAGGAACACCGAUGGCGAAGGCAGCCCCCUGGGUUAACACUGACGCUCAGGCACGAAAGCGUGGGGAGCAAACAGG
rnacentral:rRNA from 1 species